rnacentral:rRNA from 1 species
UGCGUAGGCGGUCUUUCAAGUCAGGAGUGAAAGGCUACGGCUCAACCGUAGUAAGCUCUUGAAACUGUAAGACUUGAGUGCAGGAGAGGAGAGUAGAAUUCCUAGUGUAGCGGUGAAAUGCGUAGAUAUUAGGAGGAAUACCAGUUGCGAAGGCGGCUCUCUGGACUGUAACUGACGCUGAGGCACGAAAGCGUGGGGAGCAAACA